AGGAGCCGGAUGCGGUAGUCCCGCACGUCCGGAUCUGUGGGAGCCGCGGGUGGGUAACCACCCGCGGCCACCCGGUGCCACCCAAAA
rnacentral:autocatalytically_spliced_intron from 1 species